UUCACCUGGUAUAAUUUUAUAAUGUACGACAUAAAUUUUGAAUAAUCAAGUAAUUGUGUUCCCUUCACUUUAUUAACAACAUUCUAAAAACAUAUUUCAUGAAAAUCCGUUCCGAUUGACUUUUCUUAAUCCAUUUUACAAUAACAAUAUUCAAAGAUAAACACUCCAAGGCCAACAACAAAAAACGUCACAUCUCUGACGUACCAUCUACGUCAUUAAAAAUCAAUGGCACCCAAUUAUAAUUAUCGCAAAACUGUGAUAAUGUAUCCUCUCAGAUGUAAAAUAACAGCGUAACACUUUUUUUUCAAUUCAUUCUCAUAAAUUACAACUCACAUUUGCAUUAUAUUGCGAUUCGUGUCACCGAAUGAAUGUAAAGAUUACGAUUUUUUAGCAACGUUCCAAACAUGACGCAAAUAAACGCAAAUUGAAUAUUUAACUGUAAAUUAUUUGGUAGUUAUAAUUUAAUUUAUUUAAAGCGGUAUUUAGGUCCAAUAAAUCGAUAAAUCCUCCAGAUUUAAUUUUAAUAGUCCAAUCUGUGUUUUUUUGAUAACGACUGAUCCCAUUUUUGCAACAAUACAAAACGAAUAACCGUGAAAUAAACCAAAUUUGAUGAAAGUCGACAGAUUUAACCUUAUGCAAAAAUAUCGAUUUGUACAUUUUUUGCUAAUUUGAAUAUUAAACCGGCCCGCUACAAGUAAACAAAUACGACAUUUAAACAUAUUUUUUUAAUACUUAAUAGUUUAUUUAUGUUCGUAGAUAUUAUACAAACAAAAAAGAAAUUAACUAUAAAAGUGCAAUUUUAUUAAAAUAAGAGUUACAGGAAGUGUUGAAAUUUGGAUACGAGCAGCGUAGCGGCGAGUUGAACAAACGAUUGUUUGAAUGGAAGGGAAAGCAAACGACAGUAAAACCGAUCGUAAAAAUGGACACAUGUGUGCGCUUCUCCUUCACAAUGUAAACGCUUACGUCAAGAGAUUAAUUUUGAUCCACUAGAGAGAAUGCGUAACACCGAGGAGAAACUAUUACGGUGUCCGACUCUGCAUUUGCACCACGUCACUACACCUUGAACAAAUCAAACAUUGCGGCCGAUUUUAAUAGCUGGAUUAUAAAUAUAUGGCCGUAUUUAUGAAUAAUAAAAAUUCUACAAAAUGAAGGUUGCACAACUACAAAGGCUGAUUCACCAAAUUAACAUGUCGUUAAAAAAUUACUUUACCAUCUUUUUAAACUAAUGUUUCACAAAAUGGCCAAUUUAAAAAAAUGUUCAAUUGUAUUGAAAAUUAUUAUUUUCACUUACC